GAUGAACGCUGGCGGCGUGCCUAAUACAUGCAAGUCGAGCGAACAGACGAGGAGCUUGCUCCUCUGACGUUAGCGGCGGACGGGUGAGUAACACGUGGAUAACCUACCUAUAAGACUGGGAUAACUUCGGGAAACCGGAGCUAAUACCGGAUAAUAUAUUGAACCGCAUGGUUCAAUAGUGAAAGACGGUUUUGCUGUCACUAAUAGAUGGAUCCGCGCCGCAUUAGCUAGUUGGUAAGGUAACAGCUUACCAAGGCAACGAUGCGUAGCCGACCUGAGAGGGUGAUCGGCCACACUGGAACUGAGACACGGUCCAGACUCCUACGGGAGGCAGCAGUAGGGAAUCUUCCGCAAUGGGCGAAAGCCUGACGGAGCAACGCCGCGUGAGUGAUGAAGGUCUUCGGAUCGUAAAACUCUGUUAUUAGGGAAGAACAAAUGUGUAAGUAACUAUGCACGUCUUGACGGUACCUAAUCAGAAAGCCACGGCUAACUACGUG
rnacentral:rRNA from 1 species